rnacentral:misc_RNA from 1 species
GUCAAAAAUUAUCCUGUCAUGCCUGGAGGCAUUUCGCGCAACUAUCCAAGCACUGGUUCCUCGGCUCUGCUUCCUCUUAUACUCCACGGCAACUUCAGCAUAAUCCCAAAUGCUGAAGUCUUUAUUUGCGGUGGGACAUUGCCAGAUUCAAACCAGAAGGCGGAUGCAGGAGAAUUCAUUGCUGCAUCAAAAUCCUGCGGUCGGUUAGUAAUCAACACCGCAAAUCCUAGCUGGGAAAUGGAGGAAAUGCCUAUGAACAGA